CCAGACUUUUGCACUAGGGUUCUGAGGAGAGCAUUAAGUUCCUUGUUCUUGCAGUGCAGUCAUUUUAUGGCCUUUAUCACUUCAGCAACUCAGCCACCCAGUCCUCAGAAUUUGCUCCUUUUUGAAGGCUAUCCAGUGUUCCGCUGUGUAUAUAUCCACACUUUUCUUUGUUUAACCAUCAGCUUUAAUUUUGCCAUUUUUAUAAUGCUUAUGUUAGUAUUGGCCUGUAUUCCUUCCCUUCCAGUUACCACAUAUCAUAUCAUUGACAUAUGAAAAAUGCCAGGCUGGGGGCAUAGCUCAGUGGUACAGUUUCUACCUGGCAUGUGCCUAGAUUCAGAUUUUAUUCAUAAAAAGCACAAUGAAAAUGGGAUUUACAUACAUACAAUGUAGUAAUCUUUUCCUUUAUUUUAGUUUUUUUAAAAAUAACAUAAUUAGUAAGGUAAGUUCUAAUUUCCCUAUAAUCUGCAUGAGUUCUCUACUCCAGAAAUUCUCCAACACUCCAAAUCUGUGUCUGAUUUUUUUUUCUCAAACUCUUCAGCUACCUGAUCUUCACCUAUCCAGAGGAGUUUUGAUUUGAUGGAGCCCCUUAGAUUGGUCUAUGCACUUAUUCCUUUUACGAUCUCAAGCAUGGUAACAAGGAUAGUGACCUCAAGGACUGCCAUCCAGCAUUUGGUAGAUACCCAGUGCUGUCAACAUGGAGUUUCCACAAUGUGUAAGGUUUUCAAGUGUGACUAAGGAAUGGAAGUAUUGGACUAAGGAAUGAACACUUCUGUUCCUGUCCAAGGCUGCUGUGGGAGCCAUGCGGUGCUGUGCCUGCUGUGUCACUACCAGGCAUAGAAGAAGCAAGUGGAAAUGAAUCACAAAGACUUGCUCCAAGGCUACAGAAAGUCCGUGAAUCCAGGCACUGGGUAUAAUUGGUUGGAUUCCCUGAAAAAAGACCCAGAGAAGCCGCUGCAUGGAGCUGGAAAGAUGAAGCCCAAGUUACAGCAGAGGACCAGGAUAUUGGAGAGUCUAAAACUGCUUAUCCACUGAGGAAAGCUGCAAGAACACAGUGGAACAAGCCCAAGACAAAAGUGACAUGUGCUGUAGGUGGCAGAACUGGAGUGCUGGUACUACCCAAAUUUAGAGCUCAGAUGAUCCCGUCAUGAGUGCUUCAUGCUAGCUAUGGAGCCGUAGGAUUAGGUGUUGGUUGUAACUGGGGUUUUGUUUUGCUUUUUAAUCCAACCUUUCCUUGUUAUUCUCCCAUUCGUUCCUAUUUGGGGUGGGAAUGUUUCUUUGUUUUUGUGUAUUAGAAGUGUUCAGCUUGUGUCUUCAUGUCAUAGGUGCUCAAAAUGAAGAGAUGGUCUGGAGUCUCAGAAGAGACUGAUUUUUUUUUUUCAGAGCUGAGGACCGAACCCAGAGACUGAUUUUUUGAGCAGAGCUGUAACUGUUAAAGAGAGAGACCAAAUGAGACUUUAUGAACCAGGGUAGAAUAACUAAGGUGAUGUUUGAUGUCAGGUUUGCAGGAAGUAGAAUUAUAAUGAUUAAUUUUCAUUGCCAAUUUAAUAGGAUUUAGAAUCACCUAAGAGACAGCUCUGUGCUUAUAUGUAAGUGCAGAUCUAGACAGAUUUACCAUAGAAGGGAAAUUUUCCCUUAAAUGUUGUGACAUCCUAUGAACUGGGGUCCCAGACAGAAUAAAAAGGGGAACUGAGAGAAGUACCAGCAUUCAUUUCUUUAUGCCAUCUACCAAGUGUCAGGUGAGCGCAUUUCUGUUGGUCUGUUUAUGGGUUCUCUGUUCAUUUCUGGUUUAUGUCUUACACUACCCCAGCAGCAAAUCUCAAUAGCCUUUGUAUAAUAAACAUUAAUAUUUGGUAGAGUGAUUA